rnacentral:lncRNA from 1 species
GCAUGGUAAAGUCACAUCUCUCAAGGUUCAGGUUAGAUCAUCUCAAGAAACUCUAUCUAAAAAAAGAACCAGAAGACAUAUUCUAGCCUGAAACAAGCUUCAUGGUGUUUAGUGUGAAAACAGAGCAGCUGGAACUGCAAAGAUGCGCAGCCACACACACACACACACAAAUAGGGAGACUAUUCCAUUCAAAACUGCUACACGAAACUACUUCAAAUAACUACAGGACAUAUGUAAAUAGUCCUGAUGUCUGGUAGGACCACAAAGCAAAAGAAGUGACAGCAAAGGUGUGGCGAAAAAUAAAUUAUUGGUUGUGAGUCAUGUAUUCUUCAAUUCUUGGUUGAGAUAGAAGGUCUACAGUAACACCUUGGAAAGGCUUAGGAGCAUUCAGAGAGGAUCGAGUUACUGAAUUUAAGCAUGUCAAGCAAUCAAAUAACAUAAAAGGCAAUUCUUAAAGUGAAGAUAGAAUGCUUAGAGAAUGCCUCAUGAAGAGAACCCCAAAGAAUGGAGCUCAGCAAGUCAUAGGAAUCUAGCUUGUAACCCUAUUGUAGACAAUUAAGACAACCAAUGAAAAAUCCCAGAUCAAUAGUAACACAAGCUAUUCAACGAUUUAACAAACUACUUAGAGCAAUAGAAGAUAUAAACAUUGUAUGGAACUUUUGAGUGCUCAAGAUAAAAGGUUAGCACAUGACUUUAAACAUGUCAUAUUGGUUCUUAUUACUGACAAAUCAAGCAUUUUUGGUUUGUAAGGAAGCAGCAAUACCUGGCAGACAGCAUGAGAACGAGAUGGUCUUGCCACCGUUUCAAUAGACGAGGUAGCGCCUAUCUAGUAAAAUAGAAACAGAAACAGUCUAGCAACAAAGUCUCCUGGAUGGCAAUAUUACUGAUCCGACGAACCACGGUAGAAACAGCAGAUUCGGCCAUAAGUUUCUCGAUCUUGCUAGACUGCCGAUGGAAAACGAUGUCAGUGGUAGAGUAAAGCGGGAAAAAGUGGCAGGCGUCACAUUAACUAAAAAAUUGCACGGAUCCUAGGACCAUGGCAGGUAUAUCUCGACUGGUUUCUGCCUUGCUGAGAGUGUAGCCACCUAGUGAUAUGUACUCUAAUACUUGGUAGUUUUAGGGUACGCAAGGCACAAAAUCUUGUGCAUAAAACCAAUAUAUGAAAUGUUCUAAGCAGGCAGUACUACUGGAGUAACAAAAGCCGGUCGUACUUCAGAAUGUCAAAGCAAGCGCAGCAUAGCACUGGGUCAACUCGCUACUAUACAUACUCCAUAUAAAUCAUUCAAUCUACGAUUGGGCGCAUACAAUUACUACUCUGGUUUGAUAAAUCUCCUCCUAUGGUAGGAGCUAUCAUUUCAGCUACAGGGGGAAAGCGAACACGAUCUAGUCCUGGCGGCGCGAUGGGGAGCCCUGCGAGGAAGGGGAGGCCGGCGUCGCGGACUACGGGAACGAGGGGAGCUCUGCGGGGAUUUGAGGCCCAGUAGGCGUGCUCACAAAGUGAAUCGGAUAGGUAGGGCUAGCAAGAGGGAUCUGAGUGAGAAAGGGGAUGAGGAGAGCAACUGAACGGAGGUCAGUGGAUACCUUGCCAAACGAGGCGACGAGGCGCCCCCGGCGUCGAAGCCCAGCUCCGACAGCGAUGAAGCCUUGUGCUUCCUCGACGGGGUGGGGUGGGGUGGGGUGGGGUGGUGACGCUCCACGACGGCCUUGCCUGGCGGUGGUGGUUCGGGCCGGGGGAGGCCAUGGCGCGGUGGCGAUUGCGAUGCGGUGGGGCGCACGAGGAGAGGAUGAGGAUGAGAGAGGGCUUGCUAGGUUUGGGGUCGUGGGUCACAGAGAGAUAUUUUUUUUU